ACUCAAAUGAAUUGACGGGGGCCCGCACAAGCGGUGGAGCAUGUGGUUUAAUUCGUUACUAACCGAAGAACCUUACCCAGGCUUGACAUCCCCGGACAGUCCCGGAAACGGGAUCUUCCCGCUCAAAAGGCGGGACUGGGUGACAGGUGUUGCAUGGCUGUCGUCAGCUCGUGUCGUGAGAUGUUGGGUUAAGUCCCGCAACGAGCGCAACCCUCAUCGCAUGUUGCCAGCGUAAAGUCGGGCACUCUUGCGAAACUGCCCGUGUAAGCGGGAGGAAGGUGGGGAUGACGUCAAGUCGGCAUGGCCCUUACGCCUGGGGCUACACACAUGCUACAAUGGCCGGUAACAAAGGGCUGCAAGACCGCGAGGUGGAGCAAAUCCCAAAAACCCGGCCUCAGUUCGGAUUGCAGUCUGCAACUCGACUGCAUGAAGUCGGAAUCGCUAGUAACCGCAGGUCAGCUAUACUGCGGUGAAUACGUUCCCGGGCCUUGCACACACCGCCCGU
rnacentral:rRNA from 1 species